ACUGCUUUUACUUAUAUAUAUAUAUAUAUAUAUUUAUAUUUAAAAUUUUAGUGAAUUUACUUUUAUUGAUUUUUAUUUCUUCCCUCUUGUUUUAUCUUCGUUUGCUACUAAUAAGGUUUAAUGUUGGUGCUCUUUAGUGUUUUACAGAAGAUUUUUUGUACAGUUUAAUAUCAGUUCUGAUGUUUGUUAUCAACGUUACAAAUAUAUCGUUGUUACAAUAAUUAUUUAAAAUUGUAUUGUUUUUACUUUCAUUUAUUUAUAUUUUCCCCUCUUGUUUUAGCUUCGUUUGUUAGUUAUAACGUUUAAUGUCGAUGCUCUUUAGUGUUUUCCUUAAGUUCUUUGUUCAAUUUAAUAUUAGUUCCUUUAAAAAAAAAAAAAGAAAGAAACAUGGUACAUGUCCAAAAACAAGGUUUUAACAUGAUACUUUUGUCGGUGUGGUUAUUUACUUGAUAUUGGCCGAUAUUUGUCAUCGCCGUUACAAUGUAACACAAGUGGAAUGCGUGUGAAGAAGAUGAGAGUUUCCUGCAGGAUGUGAGCGCGCUGCCGCUGUCUGGCCCCGCCCAGGAGGAGUGACUUCAGACCGGAGACCGAUCUCUCCAGCGACCGCUGCCUCAUCAGCGCACUUUCCCGCGAUUCACGUUUGGAAUAUAACGGCGUUCCGCGCGCGCUUUGCCCACUUUACCAGUGGAAAAUUGCACAGCAGCAGAGAUGAGCGUGGCGUCUUCAUCUGCUCGGUAAUGUGUGAAGCCCGUGUUCUUCAAAAGGUCUCCUAAAUGACUUUGGUUCAGGAUGAAGGGUGGAGGUUUGGCAGGGAGCUGCAGCCCCCGUUAGACUCACCGCCUCACCUUCAUCAUCACCCUCAUCUUCAUCA
ensembl:lncRNA